AAAGAAACCAACAGGGAUUGCCUCAGUAACGGCGAGUGAAGCGGCAACAGCUCAAAUUUGAAAUCUGGCCCCUCGGGGUCCGAGUUGUAAUUUGCAGAGGAUGCUUUUGGUGCGGUGCCUUCCGAGUUCCCUGGAACGGGACGCCAUAGAGGGUGAGAGCCCCGUACGGUCGGACACCAAGCCUAUGUAAAGCUCCUUCGACGAGUCGAGUAGUUUGGGAAUGCUGCUCAAAAUGGGAGGUAUAUUUCUUCUAAAGCUAAAUACCGGCCAGAGACCGAUAGCGCACAAGUAGAGUGAUCGAAAGAUGAAAAGCACUUUGAAAAGAGGGUUAAACAGCACGUGAAAUUGUUAAAAGGGAAGCGCUUGUGACCAGACUUGCGCCCGGUGAAUCACCCAGCUCUCGCGGCUGGGGCACUUUGCCGGCUCAGGCCAGCAUCAGCUCGCCGUCGGGGACAAAAGCUUCGGGAACGUAGCUCUCUUCGGGGAGUGUUAUAGCCCGCUGCAUAAUACCCUUCGGCGGGCUGAGGUACGCGCUCCGCAAGGAUGCUGGCGUAAUGGUCAUCAGCGACCCGUCUUGAAACACGGACCAAGGAGUCAACCUUAUGUGCGAGUGUUCGGGUGUCAAACCCCUACGCGUAAUGAAAGUGAACGCAGGUGAGAGCUUCGGCGCAUCAUCGACCGAUCCUGAUGUUCUCGGACGGAUUUGAGUAAGAGCAUAUAGGGUUGGACCCGAAAGAAGGUGAACUAUGCGUGUAUAGGGUGAAGCCAGAGGAAACUCUGG
rnacentral:rRNA from 1 species